GACCAUAUAGUGCAGUGGUUAGAGCACCUGGUUAACACCAAGGGUUGCUGGAUCAAUCCCAGUUCUGGUUG